rnacentral:tRNA from 1 species
UCCCAUGUGGCUCAGUUGGCAGAGCAUGGCGCCUUGCAACGCCAAGGUUGUGGGUUUGAUUCCCACGGGGGAC